rnacentral:rRNA from 1 species
GUGGGGAAUCUUGCGCAAUGGGCGAAAGCCUGACGCAGCCAUGCCGCGUGAAUGAUGAAGGUCUUAGGAUUGUAAAAUUCUUUCACCGGGGACGAUAAUGACGGUACCCGGAGAAGAAGCUCCGGCUAACUUCGUGCCAGCAGCCGCGGUAAUACGAAGGGGGCUAGCGUUGCUCGGAAUUACUGGGCGUAAAGGGCGCGUAGGCGGACAGCUUAGUCAGAGGUGAAAGCCCAGGGCUCAACCGUGGAAUUGCCUUUGAUACUGGCUGUCUUGAGUUUGGGAGAGGUGAGUGGAACUCCGGGUGUAGAGGUGAAAUUCGUAGAUAUUCGGAAGAACACCAGUGGCGAAGGCGACUCACUGGCCCAAUACUGACGCUGAGGCGCGAAAGCGUGGGGAGCAAACAGGAUUAGAAACCCGAGUAGUCC